UGUAGCUCAGUGGUAGAGCAUUUGCCUAGCAUGUGCAAGGCCCUGGGUUCAAUCCCCAGUA
rnacentral:tRNA from 1 species